AACGAACGCUGGCGGCAGGCCUAACACAUGCGAGUCGAGCGAGGACUUCGGUUCUAGCGGCGGACGGGUGAGUAACGCGUGGGAAUGUGCCCUUCUCUACGGAAUAGCCCUGGGAAACUGGGAGUAAUACCGUAUACGCCCUAUUGGGGAAAGAUUUAUCGGAGAAGGAUCAGCCCGCGUUGGAUUAGGUAGUUGGUGGGGUAAUGGCCUACCAAGCCGACGAUCCAUAGCUGGUUUGAGAGGAUGAUCAGCCACACUGGGACUGAGACACGGCCCAGACUCCUACGGGAGGCAGCAGUGGGGAAUCUUAGACAAUGGGGGCAACCCUGAGCGAGCCAUGCCGCGUGAGUGAUGAAGGCCUUAGGGUUGUAAAGCUCUUUCAGCUGGGAAGAUAAUGACGGUACCAGCAGAAGAAGCCCCGGCUAACUCCGUG
rnacentral:rRNA from 1 species